rnacentral:rRNA from 1 species
CCUACGGGAGGCUGCAGUGGGGAAUAUUGGACAAUGGGGGCAACCCUGAUCCAGCCAUGCCGCGUGUGUGAAGAAGGCCCUCGGGUUGUAAAGCACUUUCAGUGAGGAAGAACGCCUGGUGGUUAAUACCCAUCAGGAAAGACAUCACUCACAGAAGAAGCACCGGCUAACUCCGUGCCAGCAGCCGCGGUAAUACGGAGGGUGCGAGCGUUAAUCGGAAUUACUGGGCGUAAAGCGCGCGUAGGUGGCUUGAUAAGCCGGUUGUGAAAGCCCCGGGCUCAACCUGGGAACGGCAUCCGGAACUGUCAAGCUAGAGUGCAGGAGAGGAAGGUAGAAUUCCCGGUGUAGCGGUGAAAUGCGUAGAGAUCGGGAGGAAUACCAAUGGCGAAGGCGGCCUUCUGGACUGACACUGACACUGAGGUGCGAAAGCGUGGGUAGCAAACAGGAUUAGAUACCCUUGUAGUC